rnacentral:sRNA from 1 species
CUCUAGCCCUGAUAGAAGCGGCAUCCUUUUCUAGUCCUGAACUUGUUUCAGGAUCCUGAAACAAGUUCAGGACUAGAAAAGAUAUAGCGAAAAGCAGGAAACAGC